GAAAAACACAAAUGAAUGAAUCCCGGAAGAGGCACUGGCGGUGACAGUGAGGACCAAACAGACGCUGCCCCUACAUUGCCUUCGGCCUAAACCACGCCUAUGCCGCCAUAUCCGUGCCGCUAUUGAAUGUAAGUUCAUGAGGACAGUUGACCUUUUCUUGCUCACAACUCUUAUCUUCACCUGAGAGAACGUGACACAACUUACAAUUGGCGUAGUAUUGGCAGGAUCCCUGUGAACCCAAAAUCUGUCACAAUGGGUGCGACCUUUGGGAGGGCCACCCCAAGAUAUGAUGGGUAGAAGUGGCACUCGCGCCGAGGGACACGUGUCUACACUCGUGUGGUCAUGGAGGUGCCACCACUGCUGCUGGCCAUGCUGACCCCAGCCUGUGGCCCGAGCCUAAGGCUACUGCUUCUGCCACUGCUGCUGCUCUUGCUGCUUGCC